CCCUUAGAUGUUCUGGGCCGCACGCGCGCCACACUGACGAUGGCAACGAGUUUUUCCUUCGCCGAAAGGUGUGGGUAAUCUUUUGAAACAUCGUCGUGCUGGGGAUAGAUCAUUGCAAUUUUUGAUCUUGAACGAGGAAUUCCUAGUAAGCGCGAGUCAUCAGCUCGCGUUGAUUACGUCCCUGCCCUUUGUACACACCGCCCGUCGCUACUACCGAUUGAAUGGUUUAGCGAGGACUCCUGAUUGGCGCCGCCGCCCCGGCAACGGAGCAGCGGACUGCCGAAAAGUUGUUCAAACUUGAUCAUUUAGAGGAAGUAAAAGUCGUAACA
rnacentral:rRNA from 1 species